rnacentral:rRNA from 1 species
UCUGCCCUUCACUCUGGGACAAGCCCUGGAAACGGGGUCUAAUACCGGAUAACACUCUGUCCCGCAUGGGACGGGGUUGAAAGCUCCGGCGGUGAAGGAUGAGCCCGCGGCCUAUCAGCUUGUUGGUGGGGUAAUGGCCUACCAAGGCGACGACGGGUAGCCGGCCUGAGAGGGCGACCGGCCACACUGGGACUGAGACACGGCCCAGACUCCUACGGGAGGCAGCAGUGGGGAAUAUUGCACAAUGGGCGAAAGCCUGAUGCAGCGACGCCGCGUGAGGGAUGACGGCCUUCGGGUUGUAAACCUCUUUCAGCAGGGAAGAAGCGAAAGUGACGGUACCUGCAGAAGAAGCGCCGGCUAACUACGUGCCAGCAGCCGCGGUAAUACGUAGGGCGCAAGCGUUGUCCGGAAUUAUUGGGCGUAAAGAGCUCGUAGGCGGCUUGUCACGUCGGAUGUGAAAGCCCGGGGCUUAACCCCGGGUCUGCAUUCGAUACGGGCUAGCUAGAGUGUGGUAGGGGAGAUCGGAAUUCCUGGUGUAGCGGUGAAAUGCGCAG